AAUAUUUUAAUUUAAUGGUGAAGUGGGGAAAUGUUCCAUGUGAACAUCACUUGGACAUGGUCGGUUAGUCAAUCCUAAGAUAUGGGGAAUCCUUGUAUCAAGGGUGCAUUAUGCAUGAACAUCGAAAGAUAAUUGGGUUAAUAUUCCUGAACAGGGACAUGGUGGUGGACGACAAUGUUAGGAAAUCUGGAGAUGUCAUCGGGGGCCUGGGAAGAGUUAUCUUUUCUUUUUAACGACUUUCCCACCCUUAAAUCAGUUCAACCAGAGAUAGGGUCCAACAUCUGAAAGAGAACCACAUGUAUUGCAAUUUUUCAUGCCCCCUAUAUGACCAUUGUAAAUAUGGUGAACCGAAUACCAUUCAUGCCUGAUCGUACUCAUAUCUGCCUCCUUGGAUUUUUCAAUGUCC
rfam:Picea glauca, whole genome shotgun sequence.